GAUGAAGAACGUAGCGAAAUGCGAUAAGUAAUGCGAAUUGCAGAAUUCAGUGAAUCAUCGAAUCUUUGAACGCACCUUGCGCCCUUUGGCCAUUCCGAAGGGCAUGCCUGUUUGAGUAUCAUGAACACCUCAACUCUUUAUGGUUUUCCAUGAUGAGCUUGGACUCUGGGGGUUUUGCUGGCUCACAGUCGGCUCCUCUAAAAUGAAUCAGCUUACCAGUGUUUGGUGGGUAUCAUGGGUGUGAUAACUAUCUACGCUUGUGGUUUUUCCACCAGGUAACCUUCAGCAGUGGAGGUUCGCUGGAGCUCAUAGAUGUCUCUCCUCAGUGAGGACAGCCCUUUGAAUGUUUGAUCUCAAAUCAGGUAGGACUACCCGCUGAACUUAAGCAUAUCAAUAAGCGGAGGA
rnacentral:misc_RNA from 1 species